UGGGGAAUAUUGCACAAUGGGCGAAAGCCUGAUGCAGCGACGCCGCGUGAGGGAUGACGGCCUUNGGGUUGUAAACCUCUUUCAGCAGGGAAGAAGCGAAAAGUGACGGUACCUGCAGAAGAAGCGCCGGCUAACUACGUGCCAGCAGCCGCGGUAAUACGUAGGCGCAAGCGUUGUCCGGAAUUAUUGGGCGUAAAGAGCUCGUAGGCGGUUAGUCGCGUCUGCUGUGAAAACUCGAGGCUCAACCUCGGGCUUGCAGUGGGUACGGGCUGACUAGAGUGCGGUAGGGGUGACUGGAAUUCCUGGUGUAGCGGUGGAAUGCGCAGAUAUCAGGAGGAACACCGAUGGCGAAGGCAGGUCACUGGGCCGCAACUGACGCUGAGGAGCGAAAGCAUGGGGAGCGAACAGGAUUAGAUAGCCCUGGUAGUCCAUGCCGUAAACGUU
rnacentral:rRNA from 1 species